CUCUGUGGUAUAAGUAUGUAAUAUUAUUUGAGUAGAAUCUUUAAAUUUUUGUUUAUUUACUUUUUCUUUUCUUUCCUUCUUGAAUCUAGAGGUUAGAUGUGUUCAAGGUCUACAUUUGUGGCGCAGUAGUUCUUCUGUAAUAUUAUUUGGUUGUUUUACAUAAAUAAAUUUGUGCUGUUAAGCGUUCUCUUGCUUUUGUUUGCAGAUAUGAUAUGCCAAUGUGUGGAAGAUCUUUGCAGAUUUGUUUGAUUAUUUUCCUCUUAUAGCACUGGUUGAAUCUGAAAUCUUUUGUCUCCAUGGUGGAUUAUCCCCCUCCAUUGAAACCCUUGAUGACAUACAUAAUUUCGACCGUGUUCUAGAAGUUCCUCAUGAGAGGCCAAUGUGUGAUCUUUUAUGGUCUAACCAUGAUGAUCGUUCUGGUUGGGGUAUCUCACCCAGGGGUGCUGGAUAUACUUUUGGCCAAGUAUCUUAAUUCUUCCUUCCUGGUGUAUCUUUCUUCCAGUUCCAGAAAAAAUAAAAAAUAAAAUAAAAAACUUUAUUUUCUAACCACUUGCAUGGUUCUUGCAAGACAUAUCGGAGCAGUUCAACCAUACCAAUAAUUUAAAGCUAAUUGCUAGAGCACACCAACUACAGACUCAUUCGGUAGAACAAGUUUAGCUUUAUUCUCGAUAUGUAUGGAAGCUGACUAGAGAUCUCUUUGAUCUUAGUCAAAUAUUCCUCCAUUGUAGCACCUCUUUUUGUGAUUGAUUGUAAUUGAUUUUUCAGGGGAUGAGUAUGAGAGUGAGAUAAAGAAGUGUAUCUUUUCUCAAGAGCACUCCGUAUUUGAAAGCAGUGUUGAUGAUGAAGUACUGAAGAAAAUACAGAAGGUGACAAUGUUGCAGUGAUGAAACUCAAAAGAUGACCAUCCAUUUUCUUCCAUUUUAGAAAUUCAGGAUUUGGCACAGUUGUUCCAGAGGAAUCAAGAAUAUCUGAUACAGGACAAGGUACCAUUCCAGUAACAAAAUCAAGAAGCUCAGUUGCUCGAAGAACAUUCUGAAGCUCUCUUUUCCAGAUCAAAAAAUUUGUGGAAUCUAGCUUAACAGUGACUAAUGAAUUGAAAUUGGUAAGAAGAAGACUUAGAUUUGAUGGUAUAGAUUGGGAAAUUGACGAAGAAGAUGAACACCAUUAUUGGACCUUGCUCGUAGGAGCUUGAAAAGCUCUGAUACCAUGACAGAAAUUGAAAAAGCUCUGUUUUCCAAUCUAUUUGAUCAAACUGUGUCUACACUUCUUUAUACAAAAUGGUUAGAGUUUGUUAUAACAAACUCUAACUGCUUUCCUAACUACUUUACAGUCAUAAUCCUAUCUUUCUCAUAUCUAUACAGCUCUCUCUCACACCCUUGUUGAUUCAGAACUCAUGACUUUAAUUGUAUAAUUGAACAUAUUUUCUGCUGUGGAGUGGAACAGAUUUUCUGCUGUGGCUGCUGUGACUUUUGCUGUGGUUACUGUGGCUUAGGAGCAAAAGCAGUUACUAUAUUUAGUACACCUAAUUAUUGUUAUCGAUGCGGUAACAUGGCAUCUAUCCUAGAAGUUGAUGACUGCAAGGGCCACACUUUUAUUCAGUUUGAGCCAGUACCUAGGAGGGAAGAGCCGGAUGUAACACGGAGAACACCAGAUUAUUUCCUAUAAAUGCAACACUGCAAUUAUUGCUAAAUCUCAAGCGGCAAGGUGUGUUUGCUAGCUAUUUUUUCAAGUUGGGAGCUAUUUUUUCCAAAUUAAAGAACCUAUAAUUUUGGGAUGAUAGUGAAAGGGUGUUGGAAAGAAUGUAAAAUCAGCAUAUAAAGGCUUCCUUUGACUCUCAGUUAACCGGUAAAGAAAGCUGAAGAUUUGGUGAGACAAACAUGAGAACUAACUUCUACAAUUCUCACAUUUUACGUACUUGAAAAUAUCAAGUAGCAAAAUGUAAAGCAGUGCUGCAUUGAUUGACAAA